GUUCUGAUGAAGAGUCCCAAACUAGGGCGAAACAGCUGUCCAGUAC
rnacentral:hammerhead_ribozyme from 1 species